ensembl:lncRNA
CUAUUUGCUGAGUCAUUAUCUCUCUGUGUCUUCUGAUAGGUGGAUAGUUGUGGGCGUGUGAUUGAGGGCGUGGCCUGUAUAAAGAAGGAGGGGUGUAACGGUGAAGCAGAGAAUCGGGCUUCAAAAAACCUGGAGCAGAGCGACUCCUCCCCUGACUCCACCCACCAGAACGGCACAGACACGCCUUCUGGAGCAGACGGAGACUCCGCCCCUUCCACUCCACGGAAGAAACGAGGGCGGCGGAAACUCCAGCACCCGGAACGCCACAUUGAGGAGGACGACACCAGCAGCGACACCAGCAGAGGAG